AGGCAGAUGUUGGCAUAGC
rnacentral:miRNA from 1 species